rnacentral:rRNA from 1 species
AUUGAACGCUGGCGGCAGGCCUAACACAUGCAAGUCGAGCGGAUGAAGGGAGCUUGCUCCUGGAUUCAGCGGCGGACGGGUGAGUAAUGCCUAGGAAUCUGCCUGGUAGUGGGGGAUAACGUCCGGAAACGGGCGCUAAUACCGCAUACGUCCUGAGGUAGAAAGUGGGGGAUCUUCGGACCUCACGCUAUCAUAUGAGCCUAGGUCGGAUUAGCUAGUUGGUGGGGUAAAGGCCUACCAAGGCGACGAUCCGUAACUGGUCUGAGAGGAUGAUCAGUCAAACUGGAACUGAGACACGGUACAGAGUACUACGGGAGGCAGCAGGGGGGAAUAUUGGACAAUGGGCGAAAGCCUGAUACAGCCAUGCCGCGUGUGUGAAGAAGGUCUUCGGAUUGUAAAGCACUUUAAGUUGGGAGGAAGGGAAGUAAGUUAAUACCUUGCUGUUUUGACGUUACCAACAGAAUAAGCACCGGCUAACUUCGUG